GGAAUCUGCCCAGAAGCAGGGGAUAACACUUGGAAACAGGUGCUAAUACCGUAUAACAACAAAAUCCGCAUGGAUUUUGUUUGAAAGGUGGCUUCGGCUAUCACUUCUGGAUGAUCCCGCGGCGUAUUAGUUAGUUGGUGAGGUAAAGGCCCACCAAGACGAUGAUACGUAGCCGACCUGAGAGGGUAAUCGGCCACAUUGGGACUGAGACACGGCCCAAACUCCUACGGGAGGCAGCAGUAGGGAAUCUUCCACAAUGGACGAAAGUCUGAUGGAGCAAUGCCGCGUGAGUGAAGAAGGGUUUCGGCUCGUAAAACUCUGUUGUUAAAGAAGAACACCUUUGAGAGUAACUGUUCAAGGGUUGACGGUAUUUAACCAGAAAGCCACGGCUAACUACGUGCCAGCAGCCGCGGUAAUACGUAGGUGGCAAGCGUUGUCCGGAUUUAUUGGGCGUAAAGCGAGCGCAGGCGGUUUUUUAAGUCUGAUGUGAAAGCCUUCGGCUUAACCGGAGAAGUGCAUCGGAAACUGGGAGACUUGAGUGCAGAAGAGGACAGUGGAACUCCAUGUGUAGCGGUGGAAUGCGUAGAUAUAUGGAAGAACACCAGUGGCGAAGGCGGCUGUCUAGUCUGUAACUGACGCUGAGGCUCGAAAGCAUGGGUAGCGAACAGGAUUAGAUACCCUGGUAGUCCAUGCCGUAAACGAUGAGUGCUAAGUGUUGGAGGGUUUCCGCCCUUCAGUGCUGCAGCUAACGCAUUAAGCACUCCGCCUGGGGAGUACGACCGCAAGGUUGAAACUCAAAGGAAUUGACGGGGGCCCGCACAAGCGGUGGAGCAUGUGGUUUAAUUCGAAGCUACGCGAAGAACCUUACCAGGUCUUGACAUCUUCUGCCAAUCUUAGAGAUAAGACGUUCCCUUCGGGGACAGAAUGACAGGUGGUGCAU
rnacentral:rRNA from 1 species